rnacentral:rRNA from 1 species
AGUGAACGCUGGCGGUAGGCCUAACACAUGCAAGUCGAACGGCAGCACAGUAAGAGCUUGUUCUUACGGGUGGCGAGUGGCGGACGGGUGAGGCAUACAUCGGAAUCUACUAUUUCGUGGGGGAUAACGUAGAACAACUUACGCUAAUACCGCAUACUACCUACGGGUGAAAGCAGAAGUUCAUCGCACCUUGCGCGUUUGUUUGAGACGAUGUCGGAUUAGCUAGUUGGCGGGGUAAAGGCCCACCAAGGCAACGAUCCGUAGCUGGUCUGAGAGGAUGAUCAGCCACACUGGAACUGAGACACGGUCCAGACUCCUACGGGAGGCAGCAGUGGGGAAUAUUGGACAAUGGGCGAAAGCCUGAUGCAGCCAUACCGCGUGGGUGAAGAAGGCCUUCGGAUUGUAAAGCCCUGUUGUUGGGAAAGAAAAGCAGUAGGUUAAUAUCCGGAUGUUCUGACGGUACCUAAAGAAUAAGCACCGGCUAACUUCGUG